GAUGAACGCUAGCUACAGGCUUAACACAUGCAAGUCGAGGGGUCUUGAGGAAGCUUGCUUUCGAGAGACGACCGGCGCACGGGUGAGUAACGCGUAUCCAACCUGCCCUUCAUAUUGGGAUAGCCUUCCGAAAGGAAGAUUAAUACCGAAUAACAUAGAGUGGUUGCCUGAUUUCUCUAUGAAAGCUCCGGCGAUGAAGGAUGGGGAUGCGUUCCAUUAGGUAGUAGGCGGGGUAACGGCCCACCUAGCCGACGAUGGAUAGGGGUUCUGAGAGGAAGGUCCCCCACACUGGAACUGAGACACGGUCCAGACUCCUACGGGAGGCAGCAGUGAGGAAUAUUGGUCAAUGGGCGCAAGCCUGAACCAGCCAAGUAGCGUGAAGGAAGACUGCCCUAUGGGUUGUAAACUUCUUUUAUACGGGAACAAACCCUGGUACGUCUACCAGAUUGCGUGUACCGUAUGAAUAAGCAUCGGCUAACUCCGUGCCAGCCGCCGCCGUAAUAC
rnacentral:rRNA from 1 species